GAUCAUGGCUCAGGAUGAACGCUAGCUACAGGCUUAACACAUGCAAGUCGAGGGGAAACGACAUCGAAAGCUUGCUUUUGAUGGGCGUCGACCGGCGCACGGGUGAGUAACGCGUAUCCAACCUGCCCACCACUUGGGGAUAACCUUGCGAAAGUAAGACUAAUACCCAAUGACGUCUCUAGAAGACAUCUGAAAGGGAUUAAAGAUUUAUCGGUGAUGGAUGGGGAUGCGUCUGAUUAGCUUGUUGGCGGGGUAACGGCCCACCAAGGCGACGAUCAGUAGGGGUUCUGAGAGGAAGGUCCCCCACAUUGGAACUGAGACACGGUCCAAACUCCUACGGGAGGCAGCAGUGAGGAAUAUUGGUCAAUGGGCGAGAGCCUGAACCAGCCAAGUAGCGUGCAGGAUGACGGCCCUAUGGGUUGUAAACUGCUUUUAUAAGGGAAUAAAGUUAGUCUCGUGAGACUUUUUGCAUGUACCUUAUGAAUAAGGGCCGGCUAAUUCCGUG
rnacentral:rRNA from 1 species